GACGAACGCUGGCGGCGUGCCUAAUACAUGCAAGUCGAACGCACUCUCGUUUAGAUUGAAGGAGCUUGCUCCUGAUUGAUAAACAUUUGAGUGAGUGGCGGACGGGUGAGUAACACGUGGGUAACCUGCCCUAAAGUGGGGGAUAACAUUUGGAAACAGAUGCUAAUACCGCAUAAAACCUAACACCGCAUGGUGUAGGGUUGAAAGAUGGUUUUCGGCUAUCACUUUAGGAUGGACCCGCGGUGCAUUAGUUAGUUGGUGAGGUAAAGGCUCACCAAGACCGUGAUGCAUAGCCGACCUGAGAGGGUAAUCGGCCACACUGGGACUGAGACACGGCCCAGACUCCUACGGGAGGCAGCAGUAGGGAAUCUUCCACAAUGGACGAAAGUCUGAUGGAGCAAACGCCGCGUGAGUGAAGAAGGUUUUACGGAGUCGUAAAACUCUGUUGUUGGAGAAGAAUGUAUCUGAUAGUAACUGAUCAGGUAGUGA
rnacentral:rRNA from 1 species